CAGUCUUUUAGAUAAUUUCUUGCCGACCCCUUCACAGAACCCAGAAGCAAGGCACCACGAGGGAGUCUGGCAGUGAGUAAGCAGAACUACUACUCGCAACCCCAUAUGGACUUUUUAUUGGACUGAAUGCGCAAAACCCUGUCAGGGUAAAUGUGAGUGUAAUUUUUAAUUGAUUUUAAGUUGUUUUUAAUAAAACGGUAUUACACUAUCACUGGUUUUUAUCUCUGGCAUUGGAACCUGGAAGGAAUAUCGUGACCCAAAGGAGGGACCAGAAAAGAGCUUUCUGUUACAUGCAUAACACCACUGCUGUGGUUUGUAAGUAGGCAUUUUUAUAGAAGGUGGAAGCACUCCUGGAGUAUA